CCCCCGGUCACAAGAUAGGGACCCCUCCCAAAGGCUUGUGGUUUUUGUCUUUAAAAGCUGAUUGUAACUGAACCUCGGGGCCAAUCGGUCUAAAAGCUGACCUAAAGGCCCAUCUGUAGAUGCCUAAUUAAAACCUCUUGCGUGUUGCAUCAAUUGGCACAUCCAGCUUGGGGACCCCUCCUCAAUUCGGGGAACCCCAACAUUGAGGAACAAGAAGAAAAGCAGACAUUUAUCUAAGAGCUAUUUGAAAAGUUGGGGAAAUAGCUCAGAAGUUUAGAGCCCAAAGUACUGCUCUCACAGAGGACCUGGGUUUGGUUCCAGUACGCGCACUGGGUGCUCACACCAAGAUUCCAAGUCCUCCGCGUCUGCGGCUACCUCCAGGCUCAUGGUACACAUAAAUUCGUGCAGGCUCGGAUACACUUGGAGAAAACAUAGCAGAGAUAAAAGGACAUCUGAAUUGUUGCCAGCAUGGGGAGUAUGGAGCUGAAAGCCACGGUCAGCACUGGGAAAUACCUCGGGCCCUCAAGGAUCCUUCCCUAAGCCCGGUCUGAUGCUCACUUCCUACCUAUGAAGCCAUCUCAACCGACCUUCUGAGGCCAACAAACUGGCUAAAGCUGCACCUCCCGCUGACAUCCUGUACCCAGGAAGCAGCAAGGGCAGGUCAAGCACUAAAUUUCGGUCUGCCUAGGUUAGACCUGCCAUGCCAUCCUCUAGACCUGUGAGACCAGGUUGGCUGGUGGUCCACUUCUCUGUCCCAGGUCCCCUCCGUGCCGCAUGGGGCUGUUUACCUCCGAAACGCUUCCUGCAGCAGCGAGCAGGAGGGGCCAGCAGUGGAAUUGGGGCCGUGGUCAAUGAGGAAGUUUUCCACGACGAUGUUCAGCAGCUUCGGGGACACCUUCACGGAGCUCGGCCAGGGCCACAGCGCCAGUGACUUGGCCGGUGCCUUGGCCGGGGCCUGCGUCGCCAGCGCCAGCAGCGCCAGCAGCGCCAGCAGCAGCCCGGGGGCGCGGUGCGGGGACGGUCGCAUGACAGCUCGGCGGUCUGUCCGAACAGUCCUCCGACCUGCCUUCCUGCCCCGGCUACUGGGAAAGAAGCAUCCGUGCCCCGGUCACCGAGUCAGAUGACCAAGUUCCCGCCCUGCCCGGGCUCCGCCUCUGAGCCCAGAACGGCCCGGAAAUUGGUCUGGGCGAGUACCAGGAGGCUGCGCACCCCGCCGGGACGUCCUGCUCGCGCCUGCCGUGCCGGGGACCUCUUAGAGUUAGACCUCAAAACAGGCCCUGGGGCAUCACCUGUUCCUUCCUCUACCCUCCCUCCCCCGGCGGUGUUUUUGCCACAAAGCUUAGAUGGUUUGUGGGCUCUGAUUGAUUAAAAACCUCCAGGUCAGUC